UUGGAGGGCAAGUCUGGUGCCAGCAGCCGCGGUAAUUCCAGCUCCAAUAGCGUAUAUUAAAGUUGUUGCAGUUAAAAAGCUCGUAGUUGAAUUUCGGGGUUAGUAGGUUGGUCAUGCCUCUGGUGUGUACUGGUCUCACUGAUUCCUCCUUCCUGAUGAACCUUAAUGCCAUUAACUUGGUGUUUUGGGGAAUUUGGACUGUUACUUUGAAAAAAUUAGAGUGUUUAAAGCAAGCUAACGCUUGAAUACAUUAGCAUGGAAUAAUGAAACAGGACGUUCGAUCCUAUUUUGUUGGUUUCUAGGAUUGACGUAAUGAUUAAUAGGGAUAGUUGGGGGCAUUAGUAUUCAAUUGUCAGAGGUGAAAUUCUUGGAUUUAUUGAAGACUAACUACUGCGAAAGCAUUUGCCAAGGAUGUUUUCAUUAAUCAAGAACGAAAGUUAGGGGAUCGAAGACGAUCAGAUACCGUCGUAGUCUUAACCAUAAACUAUGCCGACUAGGGAUCGGAUGAUGUUAAUUUUUUAAUGACUCAUUCGGCGCCUUACGGGAAAC
rnacentral:rRNA from 1 species